rnacentral:rRNA from 1 species
CCCUUAGAUGUUCUGGGCCGCACGCGCGCUACACUGAUACGUUCAACGAGCUCCUUGACCGAGAGGCCCGGGUAAUCUUUGAAACCGUAUCGUGAUGGGGAUAGAACAUUGCAAUUAUUGUUCUUCAACGAGGAAUGCCUAGUAAGCGCGAGUCAUCAUCUCGCGUUGAUUACGUCCCUGCCCUUUGUACACACCGCCCGUCGCUCCUACCGAUUGAACGUGCUGGUGAAGCGUUAGGACUGGAGGUCUUGGGCCGGUUCGCCUGCCCAUAGCUUCGGGAAUUUCGUUGAACCCUCCCGUUUAGAGGAAGGAGAAGUCGUAACA